CUGUAACUGUGUAGAAGGAAAUGUUGACCAAUAGGUUCUCUACAGCAAUAUUACCACCAUGUGGGUGGUCAGAUACUCACAGUAAUAGUACCACAAUGUGGGUGGUCAGAUACUCACAGUAAUAGUACCACAAUGUGGGUGGUCAGAUACUCACAGUAAUAGUACCACAAUGUGGGUGGUCAGAUACUCACAGUAAUAGUACCACAAUGUGGGUGGUCAGAUACUCACAGCCAUAGUACCACAAUGUGGGUGGUCAGAUACUCACAGUAAUAGUACCACAAUGUGGGUGGUCAGAUACUCACAGUAAUAGAACCACAAUGUUGGUGGUCAGAUACUCACAGUAAUAGUACCACAAUGUGGGUGGUCAGAUACUCACAGUAAUAGUACCACAAUGUGGGUGGUCAGAUACUCACAGUAAUAGUACCACAAUGUGGGUGGUCAGAUACUCACAGUAAUAGUACCACAAUGUGGGUGGUCAGAUACUCACAGCCAUAGUACCACAAUGUGGGUGGUCAGAUACUCACAGCAAUAGAACCACAAUGUGGGUGGUCAGAUACUCACAGUAAUAGAACCACAAUGUGGGUGGUCAGAUAAUCACAGUAAUAGUACCACAAUGUGGGUGGUCAGAUACUCACAGCCAUAGUACCACAAUGUGGGUGGUCAGAUACUCACAGUAAUAGAACCACAAUGUGGGUGGUCAGAUACUCACAGUAAUAGAACCACAAUGUGGGUGGUCAGAUACUCACAGCAAUAGAACCACAAUGUGGGUGGUCAGAUACUCACAGCAAUAGAACCACAAUGUGGGUGGUCAGAUACUCACAGCCAUAGUACCACAAUGUGGGUGGUCAGAUACUCACAGUAAUAGUACCACAAUGUGGGUGGUCAGAUACUCACAGUAAUAGAACCACAAUGUGGGUGGUCAGAUACUCACAGCCAUAGUACCACAAUGUGGGUGGUCAGAUACUCACAGCAAUAGAACCACAAUGUGGGUGGUCAGAUACUUACAGUAAUAGUACCACCAUGUGGGUGGUCGGGUGGCACUGUGGUAACAUACUCACCUUUGACCUAUAGGUUUCACCUGCUGGUCCUGACAGAUUUUCCCUGGGUACUCUGGUUUCCUACCACAGACAUUGACCUUUGACCUAUAGGUUUCACCUGCUGGUCCUGACAGAUUUUCCCUGGGUACUCUGGUUUCCUACCACAGACAUUGACCUUUGACCUAUAGGUUUCACCUGCUGGUCCUGACAGAUUUUCCCUGGGUACUCUGGUUUCCUACCACAGACAUUGACCUUUGACCUAUAGGUUUCACCUGCUGGUCCCGACAGAUUUUCCCUGGGUACUCUGGUUUCCUACCACAAACAUGUCCCUUACACACUUCUAUUGAGGUCAACAUUUAGAGUGAUAAGUAUCAGUUGAUAACUUAUUUCACACUUGUUGUAAAAUAGAUAGAUUUACAUACUGUACUAGUAGAGAUUGAGUUGACAUGUAAAUGUUUGUGUUCUAUUUAUACCCUUCUGUAAUGGUUUCCCAUUACUAUAGGUAUUUGUCAUAUAAAUGUGAUGGAAACAAUAAUCCUUAUACAUUGUAGAUGUGCGUUAUCUAUAACAGGUAGAAUUUACCUCCCCAUUUUGAAAGCUAAAUUUACCCCGACCCAGUGUUACAAGACUGCAAUAAGGAAUUCAAAUUUCCAUACAGUUUUUUCGUCCGGGUCCAGGGUCCAUUGAAUUAGGAUUUUUUUAUGCAACAAAAUGUGAAAUUGGGAAAAUAGAGGAAAGUGAAAUUCAAACAAAUUCAUGUUCUUUUUUAUUUCAUUUAGUACUGACAUCAUUCUGUUAUUUAUUCAACUUUCCACAUCAAGUAUAUUUAAUCUUGAAAAAUUGACCUUUGUAUGGGGAAUUUUCAGUGGCAAAUUAGGAACUUUCACAAGAUUUUCUUUAGGGGAAUGGGUUUAUUUUAAUGGACCCAGAUUCUAUUGUAG